rnacentral:tRNA from 2 species
GGCCCUUUAGCUCAGUUGGUUAGAGCAAACGACUCAUAAUCGUUAGGUCACUGGUUCAAAACCAGUAAGGGCCA